rnacentral:rRNA from 1 species
AUUGAACGCUGGCGGCAGGCCUAACACAUGCAAGUCGGGCGGAGCGGCGGACGGGUGAGUAAUGCAUGGGGAUCUGCCUGAUGGAGGGGGAUAACUACUGGAAACUGUAGCUAAUACCGCAUACUAUCAGAUGAGCCCAGGUCGGAUUAGCUAGUUGGUGGGGUAAAGGCCUACCAAGGCGACGAUCCGUAACUGGUCUGAGAGGAUGAUCAGUCACACUGGAACUGAGACACGGUCCAGACUCCUACGGGAGGCAGCAGUGGGGAAUAUUGGACAAUGGGCGAAAGCCUGAUCCAGCCAUGCCGCGUGUGUGAAGAAGGUUUUCGGAUUGUAAAGCACUGUAAGUUGGGAGGCGUUACCAACAGAAUAAGCACCGGCUAACUUCGUGCCAGCAGCCGCGGUAAUUC